rnacentral:rRNA from 1 species
UGGGGAAUAUUGCACAAUGGGGGAAACCCGUAGCAUGCAGCAACGCCGCGUGAAGGAAGACGGUUUUCGGAUUGUAAACUUCUGUUCUUAGUGAAGAAUAAUGACGGUAGCUAAGGAGCAAGCCACGGCUAACUACGUGCCAGCAGCCGCGGUAAUACGUAGGUGGCAAGCGUUGUCCGGAAUUACUGGGUGUAAAGGGAGCGCAGGCGGGAGACCAAGUCAGCUGUGAAAACUACGGGCUUAACCUGUAGACUGCAGUUGAAACUGGUUUCUUGAGUGAAGUAGAGGUUGGCGGAAUUCCGAGUGUAGCGGUGAAAUGCGUAGAUAUUCGGAGGAACACCGGUGGCGAAGGCGGCCAACUGGGCUUUAACUGACGCUGAGGCUCGAAAGUGUGGGGAGCAAACAGGAUUAGAUACC